rnacentral:rRNA from 1 species
AGAACGAACGCUGGCGGCAUGCCUAAUACAUGCAAGUCGAACGAAGGCUUCGGCCUUAGUGGCGCACGGGUGCGUAACGCGUGGGAAUCUGCCCCUUGGUUCGGAAUAACAGUUGGAAACGACUGCUAAUACCGGAUGAUGACGAAAGUCCAAAGAUUUAUCGCCCAGGGAUGAGCCCGCGUAGGAUUAGCUAGUUGGUGAGGUAAA